GGAAUUCUGGCAUAACCUAAAAUUAUUAUUAUGUUGAAUUUGGUUGGUUAGUGGUUGAGAAUUUUACGUUUCAAAGAUGAGAUUGACUGAAAUCUGCUACAAGCACAAUUUGUAUCGACAGCUAACCGCAACAUGGCGGGUUCAGAGCAAGAGACGAAAAAUCCUCGAUGUGGGUCUCAAAAGUCGACUGGAGAAGAACAACAUGGUAAUAUAUGAUGCCAUGGAUAUUGCUGCUAUUCCUGAACCUCAUAUAGAUGAAAUUCAAACGUUACAAGUCACACCAAUCCCGAAGCCAGAUACUAAACAAGUGGAAGCCAGUCAACCAAUCAGAAAACGUCUACUAGCCUUCAGAGACAACAAUGUUCUACUGGAAGGGAUGGAUCAAGCCAAACGCCUUACCAACACCAUUGAGCCUGAGCCGAACGUAUUGCCUCAACAGUUGACCUCUUUGAUUGAUGCGGUGAAGCUGACUGAACAAGAUGAUUUAGCCAAGAGGUGCAUAUUAUCGUCGAUCGCUUUCGAAUGUGAGCAAGUGAAACUGCCAAUCAGGAAGAAUCCUAAGAAGCGCAUGUGGGUGUUUCCGCGUGACUAUGGAAUUAGUCAACCAAGGCGCAGCCGCCUAUUGAACACACGUCUUCUACAACUGUGCGAGCUGAUAAGCGGAAGCAGCACUAGCAACGAGCGGUGGAUAACUAGAGAUGCGCGCUUUGCUGUGCCGCUGCACUGGGCCGAGACCCCUGUACUGCUCGACGUGUCUGCCGACCUGCUAGUGAUGACGUCAUCGCCGGGUGGCAUUCCGCCAGUCGCCACUGUCACAGCGCCACCUCAAGGACCGCCGUCGUUUCCGGACUACAUUUCGCCCCUCAUAUCGCUUGAAGAGACGGACUUUGAGGCUACCAAGUUUGAGGAUGCUUUUCCCUUGAAAGGAAACACACAAGGUCCAGCUGUACACACUGCAAUCGUCAACUUCGACAAAGAGGUUGUGAAAAAUCUGUAUGGCACUGAGGUUCUCCCGGAGCAAAUCACUAGUCGCUCCUUGAUGAAGGCUUUUGCCUUCUCGUUAGCACAGGCUAGGCGUAUCCAUGGUGACAAGGUGCAAGGACAACUGGACACACCGGUGACAACUCAGCUGAUCCAGACCGACGGCCGUUGGUACCACUUUGCAGUGAUGCAACUGAACACAACCGACGUGCAUGACGCGAAUGUGUGCAACUACUUCUGGUCCCUGCCCGUCCUAGAGAUGUACGGACCGCAGUCAGGCUACGACGACGGCCGGCCUGUUGUGCAUGAUUACAACGCUAGUGUUCUCAAAACUAUGCUGGCUUUCUACAAUAACGGGGCAACUAAACUCGGGUGAAAUCGUUGAGUGAUAUGUAGUGUGUAUUACAAUAUAUAUUAUUUAUGUAUUUCAGGAGACAAAUAUGGGGUUACCUUGAAUAGAAAUAGAUAGCUAGGACAAGGUUUAGAAAAGGAGGUAUUGUUGCUACAGGUACUGUUAGUUUUUUUAGGUAGUCCCAUAUUUGUCUCCUUAAAUACAGAAAUCUAUGAAAUUCAUUAUUUCUGUAGUAUGCAUUAUAAUAAUUAUGUUUGUACGAU